CCUACGGGAGGCUGCAGUGAGGAAUAUUGGUCAAUGGACGAGAGUCUGAACCAGCCAAGUAGCGUGAAGGAUGACUGCCCUAUGGGUUGUAAACUUCUUUUAUAUGGGAAUAAAAUGUUCCACGUGUGGGAUUUUGUAUGUACCAUAUGCAUAAGGAUCGGCUAACUCCGUGCCAGCAGCCGCGGUAAUACGGAGGAUCCGAGCGUUAUCCGGAUUUAUUGGGUUUAAAGGGAGCGUAGGUGGAUUGUUAAGUCAGUUGUGAAAGUUUGCGGCUCAACCGUAAAAUUGCAGUUGAAACUGGCAGUCGUGAGUACAGUAGAGGUGGGCGGAAUUCGUGGUGUAGCGGUGAAAUGCUUAGAUAUCACGAAGAACUCCGAUUGCGAAGGCAGCUCACUGGACUGCAACUGACACUGAGGCUCGAAAGUGUGGGUAUCAAACAGGAUUAGAUACCCUUGUAGUC
rnacentral:rRNA from 1 species